GUCGUUCGGGGAGGGGCUCGCGUACCAUUAGCUUGUUGGUGGGGUAAUGGCCUACCAAGGCGACGAUGGUUAGCUGGUCUGAGAGGAUGAUCAGCCACACUGGCACUGAAACACGGGCCAGACUCCUACGGGAGGCAGCAGUGAGGAAUUUUGCGCAAUGGGGGAAACCCUGACGCAGCAACGCCGCGUGAGUGAAGAAGGCCUUCGGGUCGUAAAGCUCUGUCAAGUGGGAAAAACGUCAGACGAUGAACAGUCGUCAGGCUUGAUGGUACCACUGGAGGAAGCACCGGCUAACUCCGUGCCAGCAGCCGCGGUAAUACGGAGGGUGCAAGCGUUGUUCGGAAUUACUGGGCGUAAAGAGCGUGUAGGCGGCAAGGUAAGUCAGGCGUGAAAGCCCUGGGCUUAACCCAGGAAGUGCGUUUGAAACUGCCUCGCUAGAGUAUGGGAGAGGAGAGUGGAAUUCCCGGUGUAGAGGUGAAAUUCGUAGAUAUCGGGAGGAACACCCGUGGCGAAGGCGACUCUCUGGACCAAUACUGACGCUGAGACGCGAAAGCGUGGGGAGCAAACAGGAUUAGAUACCCUGGUAGUCCACGCCGUAAACGAUGAGCACUAGGUGUAGCGGGUAUUGACCCCUGCUGUGCCGUAGCUAACGCAUUAAGUGCUCCGCCUGGGGAGUACGGCCGCAAGGCUAAAACUCAAAGGAAUUGGCGGGGGCCCGCACAAGCGGUGGAGCAUGUGGUUUAAUUCGACGCAACGCGAAGAACCUUACCUGGGUUUGACAUCCCCUGACCGCCCGGGAAACCGGGUUUACCCUGCUUGCAGGGACAGGGCGACAGGUGCUGCAUGGCUGUCGUCAGCUCGUGUCGUGAGAUGUUGGGUUAAGUCCCGCAACGAGCGCAACCCUUUUCUUUAGUUGCCAGUAUUCAGUUAGGCACUCUAAAGAGACUGCCUCGGCUAACGGGGAGGAAGGUGGGGAUGACGUCAAGUCCUCAUGGCCUUUAUACCCAGGGCUACACACGUGCUACAAUGGGUCGUACAAUGGGUUGCGAAGCCGCGAGGUGGAGCCAAUCCCAAAAAGCGGCUCUCAGUUCGGAUUGGAGUCUGCAACUCGACUUCAUGAAGGUGGAAUCGCUAGUAAUCGUGGAUCAGCAUGCCACGGUGAUACGUUCCCGGGCAUUGUACACACCGCCCGUCACACC
rnacentral:rRNA from 1 species